CAGCCGCCGCGGUAAUACGAAGGGGGCUAGCGUUGCUCGGAAUGACUGGGCGUAAAGGGCGCGUAGGCGGUUUGUCGAGUUAGAUGUGAAAUUCCCGGGCUUAACCUGGGGACUGCAUUUGAUACUGGCAGGCUUGAGUGUGGAAGAGGGUCGUGGAAUUCCCAGUGUAGAGGUGAAAUUCGUAGAUAUUGGGAAGAACACCGGUGGCGAAGGCGGCGACCUGGUCCAUAACUGACGCUGAGGCGCGAAAGCGUGGGGAGCAAACAGGAUUAGAUACCCCCGUAGUCCCUGUCUCUUAUAC
rnacentral:rRNA from 1 species